rnacentral:rRNA from 1 species
UCAAGUUAUUAAGGGUGCAGGGCGGAUGCCUUGGCACUAGGAGCCGAUGAAGGACGUGAUAAGCUGCGAUAAGCUUCGGGGAGUUGCACGUAAACUUUGAACCGAAGAUUUCCGAAUGAGGAAACUCACUUAGAGUAAUGUCUAAGUAUCAUUAAGUGAAUACAUAGCUUAAUGAGGGGAACUCAGGGAACUGAAACAUCUAAGUACCUGAAGGAAGAGAAAGAAAUUCGAUUCCGUAAGUAGCGGCGAGCGAACGCGGAUUAGCCCAAACCAAUAAAGUUUUCUUUAUUGGGGUUGCGGACAUAUCAUAACGAAGAGGUAUCGUAAUUGAAGAGGUUUGGAAAGACCCACCACAGAAGGUAAUAGUCCUGUAUGUUAAACGAGAAGACUUUAGAUAUGAUCCAGAGUACCACGGGACACGUGAAACCCUGUGGGAAGCAGGAGGGACCACCCUCCAAGGCUAAAUACUACCUAGUGACCGAUAGCGUAUAGUACCGUGAGGGAAAGGUGAAAAGAACCCCGGGAGGGGAGUGAAAUAGAACCUGAAACCCUGCACUUACAAGCUGUGGAAGCACAUUUCUUGUGUGACCGCGUACUUUUUGUAGAACGGGCCAACGAGUUACGUUAAGUAGCAAGGUUAAGCACUUAAGGUGCGGAGCCGUAGCGAAAGCGAGUUUUAACUGAGCGUUCAGUUACUUGACGUAGACCCGAAACCGGGCGACCUACCCAUGAGCAGGAUGAAGCGAAAGUAAAAUUUCGUGGAGGUCCGAACCCACGAGCGUUGAAAAGCUCGGGGAUGACUUGUGGGUAGCGGUGAAAUUCCAAUCGAG